UUAAGCGACUAAGCGUACACGGUGGAUGCCCUGGCAGUCAGAGGCGAUGAAGGACGUGCUAAUCUGCGAUAAGCGUCGGUAAGGUGAUAUGAACCGUUAUAACCGGCGAUUUCCGAAUGGGGAAACCCAGUGUGUUUCGACACACUAUCAUUAACUGAAUCCAUAGGUUAAUGAGGCGAACCGGGGGAACUGAAACAUCUAAGUACCCCGAGGAAAAGAAAUCAACCGAGAUUCCCCCAGUAGCGGCGAGCGAACGGGGAGCAGCCCAGAGCCUGAAUCAGUGUGUGUGUUAGUGGAAGCGUCUGGAAAGGCGCGCGAUACAGGGUGACAGCCCCGUACACAAAAAUGCACAUGCUGUGAGCUCGAUGAGUAGGGCGGGACACGUGGUAUCCUGUCUGAAUAUGGGGGGACCAUCCUCCAAGGCUAAAUACUCCUGACUGACCGAUAGUGAACCAGUACCGUGAGGGAAAGGCGAAAAGAACCCCGGCGAGGGGAGUGAAAAAGAACCUGAAACCGUGUACGUACAAGCAGUGGGAGCACGCUUAGGCGUGUGACUGCGUACCUUUUGUAUAAUGGGUCAGCGACUUAUAUUCUGUAGCAAGGUUAACCGAAUAGGGGAGCCGAAGGGAAACCGAGUCUUAACUGGGCGUUAAGUUGCAGGGUAUAGACCCGAAACCCGGUGAUCUAGCCAUGGGCAGGUUGAAGGUUGGGUAACACUAACUGGAGGACCGAACCGACUAAUGUUGAAAAAUUAGCGGAUGACUUGUGGCUGGGGGUGAAAGGCCAAUCAAACCGGGAGAUAGCUGGUUCUCCCCGAAAGCUAUUUAGGUAGCGCCUCGUGAAUUCAUCUCCGGGGGUAGAGCACUGUUUCGGCAAGGGGGUCAUCCCGACUUACCAACCCGAUGCAAACUGCGAAUACCGGAGAAUGUUAUCACGGGAGACACACGGCGGGUGCUAACGUCCGUCGUGAAGAGGGAAACAACCCAGACCGCCAGCUAAGGUCCCAAAGUCAUGGUUAAGUGGGAAACGAUGUGGGAAGGCCCAGACAGCCAGGAUGUUGGCUUAGAAGCAGCCAUCAUUUAAAGAAAGCGUAAUAGCUCACUGGUCGAGUCGGCCUGCGCGGAAGAUGUAACGGGGCUAAACCAUGCACCGAAGCUGCGGCAGCGACGCUUAUGCGUUGUUGGGUAGGGGAGCGUUCUGUAAGCCUGCGAAGGUGUGCUGUGAGGCAUGCUGGAGGUAUCAGAAGUGCGAAUGCUGACAUAAGUAACGAUAAAGCGGGUGAAAAGCCCGCUCGCCGGAAGACCAAGGGUUCCUGUCCAACGUUAAUCGGGGCAGGGUGAGUCGACCCCUAAGGCGAGGCCGAAAGGCGUAGUCGAUGGGAAACAGGUUAAUAUUCCUGUACUUGGUGUUACUGCGAAGGGGGGACGGAGAAGGCUAUGUUGGCCGGGCGACGGUUGUCCCGGUUUAAGCGUGUAGGCUGGUUUUCCAGGCAAAUCCGGAAAAUCAAGGCUGAGGCGUGAUGACGAGGCACUACGGUGCUGAAGCAACAAAUGCCCUGCUUCCAGGAAAAGCCUCUAAGCAUCAGGUAACAUCAAAUCGUACCCCAAACCGACACAGGUGGUCAGGUAGAGAAUACCAAGGCGCUUGAGAGAACUCGGGUGAAGGAACUAGGCAAAAUGGUGCCGUAACUUCGGGAGAAGGCACGCUGAUAUGUAGGUGAAGCGACUUGCUCGUGGAGCUGAAAUCAGUCGAAGAUACCAGCUGGCUGCAACUGUUUAUUAAAAACACAGCACUGUGCAAACACGAAAGUGGACGUAUACGGUGUGACGCCUGCCCGGUGCCGGAAGGUUAAUUGAUGGGGUUAGCGCAAGCGAAGCUCUUGAUCGAAGCCCCGGUAAACGGCGGCCGUAACUAUAACGGUCCUAAGGUAGCGAAAUUCCUUGUCGGGUAAGUUCCGACCUGCACGAAUGGCGUAAUGAUGGCCAGGCUGUCUCCACCCGAGACUCAGUGAAAUUGAACUCGCUGUGAAGAUGCAGUGUACCCGCGGCAAGACGGAAAGACCCCGUGAACCUUUACUAUAGCUUGACACUGAACAUUGAGCCUUGAUGUGUAGGAUAGGUGGGAGGCUUUGAAGUGUGGACGCCAGUCUGCAUGGAGCCGACCUUGAAAUACCACCCUUUAAUGUUUGAUGUUCUAACGUUGACCCGUAAUCCGGGUUGCGGACAGUGUCUGGUGGGUAGUUUGACUGGGGCGGUCUCCUCCUAAAGAGUAACGGAGGAGCACGAAGGUUGGCUAAUCCUGGUCGGACAUCAGGAGGUUAGUGCAAUGGCAUAAGCCAGCUUGACUGCGAGCGUGACGGCGCGAGCAGGUGCGAAAGCAGGUCAUAGUGAUCCGGUGGUUCUGAAUGGAAGGGCCAUCGCUCAACGGAUAAAAGGUACUCCGGGGAUAACAGGCUGAUACCGCCCAAGAGUUCAUAUCGACGGCGGUGUUUGGCACCUCGAUGUCGGCUCAUCACAUCCUGGGGCUGAAGUAGGUCCCAAGGGUAUGGCUGUUCGCCAUUUAAAGUGGUACGCGAGCUGGGUUUAGAACGUCGUGAGACAGUUCGGUCCCUAUCUGCCGUGGGCGCUGGAGAACUGAGGGGGGCUGCUCCUAGUACGAGAGGACCGGAGUGGACGCAUCACUGGUGUUCGGGUUGUCAUGCCAAUGGCACUGCCCGGUAGCUAAAUGCGGAAGAGAUAAGUGCUGAAAGCAUCUAAGCACGAAACUUGCCCCGAGAUGAGUUCUCCCUGACUCCUUGAGAGUCCUGAAGGAACGUUGAAGACGACGACGUUGAUAGGCCGGGUGUGUAAGCGCAGCGAUGCGUUGAGCUAACCGGUACUAAUGAACCGUGAGGCUUAACCU
rnacentral:rRNA from 1 species